rnacentral:snRNA from 1 species
AUCGCUUCUCGGCCUUUUGGCUAAGAUCAAGUGUAGAAAUGCACCGAUUUUUCUUUUCAUGUUUAUUUUAAGGGAGAGAAAGAACACGCA